GAUGGCCAGAUCUGGGAAUCUUUCACUUAUUUGUUUCACACCGGCUAUCGUUACAGCAGCUGUAACGUAAUUGUCAACCUCUGUUGUUAGUCUUUAUAGCAUUGUCUGGUUCUUGUAAUACUCAAUGUUGGGAUCCAUGGCUGUAAGAGCCAGACUAUAGACAGGUUGGUUUUCGGACAUUCUGUAUUUUUCUUUGAAGAGCCACGGACAUGAGGGAUAUCGAUUACGAAGGGAAAAUAAUUAAUUCUACUUCUACAAGAAGUAUGAUUUGAUUACAAACAUACUUUUAACUAAAACUUUCGGAUCUCUAUUAUUUAAAUCCAAUCAGCCAUUUCAUUGCCAAAUAUUUCAUCUGUCUCGUUCUCAUUUCAACAGAUUCUGCAAUGAAUCAAAAAUAAAGCGAGCAAAACUGAGGAUGGAAAAGAGCUCAACUAGUGAAGGAGGUGAUGGCACAGGAGAUGUGGUAAUCCCCCGCAAGAGAAGACGCACAGGAGAGAAAGAGCAAAGGACCAGGCAUGCUCUACCAGUGGAGUGCAUCAUAUGCAAGAAGAGCAAAUGGAUCCAGCCGCCAUAUGGACCGCGGAAAAAAGAGCCACUCACAAAGUGCGAAUAUGAAAAAGGUGGACAACUUCUCAAGACUGCUGAACUACUCAAUGAUGAAUCCAUCCUUCUUGAUAUUUAAGGUCACGACAUGGUGGCAAUCGAAGUCCGGUAUCACAGAUCAUGCCACAAGAAUUACAUCAAGGCGACUUGCCGUGUACAGACUUGUGUCGUUGCAGUGAUUGUGAGAACACCACUACUGAAGACAUCGAAUGCCUGUCCAGCGAUGACGAAGAAAGUGACAUUGAAGACGAUGAAUAGACACAGGGACUUAUCGUAGUACGGAAAAGUUUACAUACCAGUAUUCAUCAUCAGCCAUAUUUAUGUGUUUGCUCAUUCUACAUGUACUUGUAAAUAUGCAUAGCUUUUUUUUUGGCAUGGUGUAGACAGCAGAAACGUGAUUUGCCAUCAUGUCUUUCAGGAAGAAUAUUUCUUUGGUUUGUUUUUUACAGCAAAUUUCCAGUUUCCAACAGUAUAUUUUUAGGCUUAUGACAAUUCCUCAUCUACAAAUAGUUCUUCCAGCUCUACCUUCUGUCGACCCAAGUUGAUGCUUGAGACGAGCGCAACAGCUCCACACUUAAGUGAAAAACUCAAUAUAUGUAAUGCCUUGACAAUCCAUUAUUGCAUAAUUGCAUACUUUAUUACAAUAAUUAUGACAUAUAUGUAUUUGGAAUUAUGGAAGUUCCAGGUCUAGACAGUUAAUUUUUGUGUUAAUGGCAAAUUCAGGGAUACCUUGAAGAAUUUUUUUUAAGAAGAACAUAUUAAGUAUGGCCAAAGAUUUAUUUGUUGCUUAUUUAUUAAUUAAUUACCACAAAAUAAAACCUUUCCAAUUAGGUCAUUGUUGGAACCAAAUACUCUAUUUUAGGUAAAUGACAUAAUUUGGUAAUCUGCAAAUAAGUCUUUGAACUUCAUAUGUUAUGGAAAACUCGGUGAUAUCUUGAAACAAAAAAAAAUUGGGUGGUACAAAGUGUUGACUGUGGUCAACUUAGCGUUACUUGUUGAUAGUUUGAGAAUUAAUUACCAUUUAUUGCUUGCAUCAAGGACUUUAUUUUAGGUAAAUGAAAUAAGUCAGUCUUCUCCAAAUAGUUUUUCCUUCCAUAAACAUUUAAGAUUAAAACUUAGUGCUGUUAUAAUCCAAUUUGUUGCAAAAUUGCACAAUUAAUUACCAUAAUUAUGUAAUUAUGUUAAAUUUGGAGACAGCUCAUUUUGGAUUAAUGACAUAAAUGUACAUGUAAUUCAAUACUUUCAGCCUCACAUGCAAAAUUUCAGUGAUACCUUGAACAAACUAUUUAUUGGCAUAAAAAACACUGAAUAUGGCCAAAGCGUUAUUUUGUGCAUAAUUUCAUAUUUAAUGAUCACAACAAUAAAACCAUUAAUAUGAUAUUUUUUCUUGGCAUCAAUAUAACAACUGUUUUAGGUUAGUUAUAUAAUGCAGUCGUAUACAAUUACAGAAAAGGUCAGUCAUGCCUUAUAUGGAAAAGUCAGUUACAUGUAUGCCUUCUGUGCCAAUUGCAAUAAAACAUAUAUGAGCAUA
rnacentral:lncRNA from 1 species